AUCCUUGUAGCGCAACGGAUAGCGCGUUGGACUUAUAAUCCAAAUUUUGUGGGUUCGUAUCCCAACUGGGAUG